rnacentral:rRNA from 1 species
CGCGUAGGUGGUUUGAUAAGCGAGAUGUGAAAGCCCCGGGCUUAACCUGGGAACGGCAUUUCGAACUGUCAGGCUAGAGUGUGGUAGAGGGUAGUGGAAUUUCCUGUGUAGCGGUGAAAUGCGUAGAUAUAGGAAGGAACACCAGUGGCGAAGGCGGCUACCUGGACCAACACUGACACUGAGGUGCGAAAGCGUGGGGAGCAAACA